UACGUAGGGGGCAAGCGUUGUCCGGAAUCAUUGGGCGUAAAGCGCGUGUAGGCGGCCCGGUAAGUCCGCUGUGAAAGUCGGGGGCUCAACCCUCGGAUGCCGGUGGAUACUGUCGGGCUAGAGUGCGGGAGAGGCGAGUGGAAUUCCUGGUGUAGCGGUGAAAUGCGCAGAUAUCAGGAGGAACACCGGUGGCGAAGGCGGGUCUCUGGGCCGAUACUGACGCUGAGGAGCGAAAGCGUGGGGAGCAAGCAGG
rnacentral:rRNA from 1 species